rnacentral:lncRNA from 1 species
AGACAAGGUUGGGGGUUGAAUUUGUACUCAGCAAUAGAGUUGUCUUAUAUGCUUUUGUGAUUUUAUAGCUCAAUUUUGGUGUUACAUAGUCAUAUAUAUUGAGAGAUAGUGAAGUAUGCAGUAUGAACUCUGAUUUUGACUGUGUUUUGGAUGAUCUCGUGAUAUGAUUCUGAUUUUUUACUCGAAUAAUUUUACUAGGAAGGAC